rnacentral:lncRNA from 1 species
UUUAUAAAAAAAAUUUGUAGAUAAAGUUAUAUAUAAGUAAUGCAAUAGAAUCAUAUAAAUUAAAUAAGUUCCUUAAUAAAUUAUUAUUUUUUACAAUAUUAGCAAAAUAAGAGAUCUUCCUUAUCUAAAUUUCAUAUAUUUAUUUUGAGCUAUGAGUAUAUAUAUAUAUAGAAUUAGGGUGGAAUACUAUUAGUAGUAAAACACUAUUUUUACUAUCAAGUUUUUAACCCUUGGAUGAAAAAUUGUAGGGUUAGGAUGAUAUUAGUCAGUUAGAGUUGAGUGGUCCCCCUAGGGUUGAGUGGUCCCCACUGGGUUAUAGUAUUUAAUCCAAUGGUUAGAAAUGAUGAAAAGAGUUGAUCCAAUGGCUAAAAAACUGGUAGCAACAAUAGAAUUUUGCUACUAAUAGUAGCCCAGUCCAACUCUAUAUAUAUAUAUAUAUACGCGGAAUAAUGUGAUAUGCAACUCAUUUUAGUAAAAUU